AAUUGUGGAUCAGCAUGCCACGGUGAAUACGUUCCCGGGCCUUGUACACACCGCCCGUCACACCCUGAGAGUUUGUAACACCCAAAGCCGGUGAGGUAACCUUUGGGGACCAGCCGUUUAAGGUGGGACAGAUGAUUAGGGUGAAGUUGUAACAAGGUAGCCGUAGGAGAACCUGCGGCUGGAUCACCUCCUUUUUAAGGAAAAACGGAAUCCUGCACAUUAUUGAAAGUUUUGUUUAGUUUUGAGAGGUUUACUUUCAAUUUGUUUUUUGAAAAAUAGAUAAUAUUAAUUUUUUGUAAUAAUUUUUUGAAAUUGUAUUUAAUAUAAUUUCAACCGAGAACACCGCGUUAUUUUGAGUUUGUUAAAUAGAAAAAAAUCGCAAAUACUCAAUUAACUUUGCAUCACGUAGUGAUGUACAGGUUAAGUUAAAAAGGGCGCAUGGUGGAUGCCUUGGCACUAGAAGCCGAUGAAGGACGGGACUAACACCGAUAUGCUUCGGGAGCGUACGUA
rnacentral:misc_RNA from 1 species